UCCUGGCUCAGGACAACGGCUGGCGGCGUGCUUAACACAUGCAAAGUCAACGGGGAUGCUCAGGAAGGAGAUUCGGUCAACGGAAUGAGCUAUCUAGUGGCGGACGGGUGAGUAACGCGUGAGGAACCUGCCUUUCAGUGGGGGACAACAGCUGGAAACGGCUGCUAAUACCGCAUGACAUAUCUGUGUCGCAUGGCAUGGAUAUCAAAGAUUUAUCGCUGAGAGAUGGCCUCGCGUCUGAUUAGCUAGUUGGUGAGGUAAAGGCCCACCAAGGCGACGAUCAGUAGCCGGACUGAGAGGUUGGCCGGCCACAUUGGGACUGAGAUACGGCCCAGACUCCUACGGGAGGCAGCAGUGGGGAAUAUUGGGCAAUGGGCGCAAGCCUGACCCAGCAACGCCGCGUGAAGGAAGAAGGCUUUCGGGUUGUAAACUUCUUUGACAGGGGAAGAGACGAAGACGGUACCCUGAAAACAAGCCACGGCUAACUACGUG
rnacentral:rRNA from 1 species